CACUCCUGCGGGAGGCAGCAGUGGGGAAUUUUGGACAAUGGGCGCAAGCCUGAUCCAGCCAUGCCGCGUGCGGGAAGAAGGCCUUCGGGUUGUAAACCGCUUUUGUCAGGGAAGAAAAGGUUCUGGCUAAUACCUGGGACUCAUGACGGUACCUGAAGAAUAAGCACCGGCUAACUACGUGCCAGCAGCCGCGGUAAUACGUAGGGUGCAAGCGUUAAUCGGAAUUACUGGGCGUAAAGCGUGCGCAGGCGGUUAUGCAAGACAGAGGUGAAAUCCCCGGGCUCAACCUGGGAACUGCCUUUGGGACUGCAUGGCUAGAGUACGGUAGAGGGGGAUGGAAUUCCGCGUGUAGCAGUGAAAUGCGUAGAUAUGCGGAGGAACACCGAUGGCGAAGGCAAUCCCCUGGACCUGUACUGACGCUCAUGCACGAAAGCGUGGGUAGCAAACAGGAUUAGAUACCCCUGUAGUCCC
rnacentral:rRNA from 1 species